rnacentral:snoRNA from 1 species
GGCUCACUAUGGAGUUGUGUCUUGGCCGAACAUAUUGUGGCCCUGUUAGCACACUCACGUGCGCCGAGA